ACGGGAGGCAGCAGUGGGGGAUAUUGCACAAUGGGGGAAACCCUGAUGCAGCGACGCCGCGUGAGUGAAGAAGUAUUUCGGUAUGUAAAGCUCUAUCAGCAGGAAAGAUAAUGACGGUACCUGACUAAGAAGCACCGGCUAAAUACGUGCCAGCAGCCGCGGUAAUACGUAUGGUGCAAGCGUUAUCCGGAUUUACUGGGUGUAAAGGGAGCGUAGACGGCAUGGCAAGCCAGAUGUGAAAUGCGGGGGCUCAACUCCUGAACUGCAUUUGGAACUGUCAAGCUAGAGUAUCGGAGAGGUAAGUGGAAUUCCUAGUGUAGCGGUGAAAUGCGUAGAUAUUAGGAGGAACAUCAGUGGCGAAGGCGGCUUUCUGGACAGUUACUGACACUGAGGCACGAAAGUGUGGGGAGCAAACAGGAUUAGAUACCCUGGUA
rnacentral:rRNA from 1 species